rnacentral:rRNA from 1 species
GAUGAACGCUGGCGGCGUGCCUAAUACAUGCAAGUCGAGCGAAUGGAUUAAGAGCUUGCUCUUAUGAAGUUAGCGGCGGACGGGUGAGUAACACGUGGGUAACCUGCCCAUAAGACUGGGAUAACUCCGGGAAACCGGGGCUAAUACCGGAUAACAUUUUGAACCGCCUGGUUCGAAAUUGAAAGGCGGCUUCGGCCGUCACUUAUGGAUGGACCCGCGUCGCAUUAGCUAGUUGGUGAGGGAACGGCUCACCAAGGCAACGAUGCGUAGCCGACCUGAGAGGGUGAUCGGCCACACUGGGACUGAGACACGGCCCAGACUCCUACGGGAGGCAGCAGUAGGGAAUCUUCCGCAAUGGACGAAAGUCUGACGGAGCAACGCCGCGUGAGUGAUGAAGGCUUUCGGGUCGUAAAACUCUGUUGUUGGGGAAGAACAAGUGCUAGUUGAAUAAGCUGGCACCUUGACGGUACCUAACCAGAAAGCCACGGCUAACUACGUGCCAGCAGCCGCAGUAA